GUCUUCGGAUGCUGACGAGUGGCGAACGGGUGAGUAAUACAUCGGAACGUGCCCAGACGUGGGGGAUAACGAGGCGAAAGCUUUGCUAAUACCGCAUACGAUCUAAGGAUGAAAGCAGGGGACCGCAAGGCCUUGCGCGUUUGGAGCGGCUGAUGGCAGAUUAGGUAGUUGGUGGGAUAAAAGCUUACCAAGCCGACGAUCUGUAGCUGGUCUGAGAGGACGACCAGCCACACUGGGACUGAGACACGGCCCAGACUCCUACGGGAGGCAGCAGUGGGGAAUUUUGGACAAUGGGCGAAAGCCUGAUCCAGCAAUGCCGCGUGCAGGAUGAAGGCCUUCGGGUUGUAAACUGCUUUUGUACGGAACGAAAAGGCUCUGGCUAAUACCUGGGGCACAUGACGGUACCGUAAGAA
rnacentral:rRNA from 1 species